rnacentral:lncRNA from 1 species
AGAAGAGAGCAACCUGAACAGUGACGACGAUGAUGCAGCGGAAAAAAAUGCAGCGGCAAAGGAGCAGGACGCGCCGUCCGAAGACGAGGAAGGGGAAGGUGACACGGCUAAGAAAGCCAAGAAAGCGGCCUCCAAGGCGAAAGCGGUGAAGCCCGCCAAAAACGCCAAGCAGCGGAAAGCUGCGGAACAGGAGGACUCCAACGACAACGAGGAGGAGGAGCCG